AAAAUGUAACCAAAGCAGGAUAUUUGACGUAAAUUCAAAUUGUGGAAAAGAUAGAUCAAUGGUGAAGACCUAUAUAUAUUAGUAAGGCCAGUCAGGACUUAUUCUAUUUUCCGUUAACCUCAUGAUAUUUUUCGUCUACAGUUUUUUUCCUUUUAUCUCCAUUUCAUGUCUAACUUUGUUUUUAAUUCCUUUCUUCAAAAAAUCUUUUUAGUCCCUCUACUAAGCUUUGUCCAGCCUAAUUAAGAUAAGAGAGAGAAAUCACACUUCCAUGUUCAUAUCACUACGGAAAAGGGAUUUAAUUGCCGGGUUUUUUUGCGGGGUUAUUUUAACUCCUGUAAAAUUAUAUGAAUUGCGGGGUUAAAAACUUGCCGCGAAAAUUUAUAAAUUACGGGAAGGUUUAACCCCCGAUAUCCAUCGAAUAUAUUUGCGGGGGUUUUUAACUCCCGAUAUCCAUCGAAUAUAUUUGCGGGGGGUUUUAACCCCAAAACUCCCGAUAUCCAACGAAUAUAUUUCUGGGGUUAAAACCCCCCUCCAUCGAAAAAAAUAGCGCCUAAAUGUAAUACCCCAUACUUCUACCUACCUUAAAUUCGUCCCAAAAAUAUCAAAGACUUGUUUUAAAGAUGAAUCCACUUUAUACAUGUGGUAUUUUCAAGAUUUUCACAUUUUGUCAUGUGGGAAAUUCAAUAAGCUUUCCAUCGAUAUAAGGUUCGCCUAAAUCCGAUAACCGGGUAAGAAGUUAUGACUAUUUCAAGUUUCAGUCGUAAAACAUGUCAUCUCAGUUAGUGGCGCGUCGCGCCAUAAGCCAAAAUGACAUUAGUCAAUUUUCAGUAAGACUCCGCGAUUUCACCGCGUUGCGGAGGGCUCCCAAAUCCCAAUUGUCAAAUUCCAGUGAAGCUCCGCGAUGUCCCCGUGUCUCGUCAUCGUCCAAUUUCCCAGUUGUCAAAUUCCAGUGACACAGCGCAAUAGCGCCGCGUUGCGCCAGGGGUUCAGGUCGGGAAAUUUUCACAAAAAUCAAAAAACGCGUUCAGGGUUAAUUGGGUCUUUUCCCAUGAUUUUAGUUCAGCCUUAAAAUACCAAAUUUAACCCUAUAUGACCUAAGGAUAUCAUUAUUCACUCUAUUUUUUUCAAAUUGAGUUGCUCUCUCUCAAGCCAAGAAAUCCUAAAUCUCAAAUUCAAGGGUCAAAUCGCAAGAACUCUCCAUCAAUCCUUUCAAAUUCAUUAACUCAGGUAUGCAUAAUGUUCAUUAAUGGAUUCCUUUCGUCCAUGAAGCCCAAGAAUCAAGUUUUAAAUCAUGUAUUAUGAAUAUUAUGUUGUGGGUUGAUUAUAUUUAUGUGAUUGUUGUUGUAUGCUUCCCAAGUUGGAAUCUCAAUGUGUUUUUAUGGAAUUACGUUAGUAUAUGAGUUUAAAUCCAUGAAUUGAGUGGUUUAUGAGGUGUUAAUUGAUGAUUAUACCUAUGCCUUAAGUGGUGCAUGUAAGGUGUUUGAUAAAAUGCCUAGAAGACUAGAAAUCAUAUAAUAUAGUCCAAUUUUGACUUAAGUGAUGGAUUCAUAUUUUACCCUUAUGUUCAAAUUACUCUCAUGCUAUUGAUGUACAAUGUAGAUGUUUGUUGAAAUGCUCGUGAUGCUGGAUAUGGAAUUAUGACAUUGAUUAUAUGCAUUCCUUUCAUGUCCAAGAUUAUGAUAACCAAGUACUUCAUAAAAUCCCCAACUUAUUGUAUUAUGAAUUGUUGAUAUUAGUCUUGUGUUCAAGAAGUGUCAAGUCUUAUUAGUUUCAUGCUAUCGAGUCCUUGGGGUACUUGUACCCGACAAUUUAGUUAUAUGCUUAGAGCUAGUGUCAGUUUUCACGACACUCUCAGUCAAGCCAUGAUCAGUAGAAUUCAGUCAGUCACAGGACUCAGGAAAACUCAGUAAUCUCAGUACUCUCAGACAGUUAUCAUAUCUCAGUAGUAUUUCGUCCGCCCACGAAAAUUCAGCUAACUCGGUCCAGUUAGUUCAGCUAACGAUAGUCACUGUCUAUUCAGAUGGGAGUAGAAAUUAGCACCAAGUGAACCCAAGGAUGGAAACCCACCUGUUAUAUGAGGGUGUGAUUCUUAGAAGCAAAUCCUUGCGUUCCAGAACUACGUAGCCAGAGUAGGUUAAGACAUCAUAGCCUGUUAUAUGGGGGUAGAUGAGGUGGCUUAACCUGUUAUAUGAGGGUUCACACCGUUCUCACUAGAUUUAUCUGUUAUAUGAGGGUGACUCACAGAUUAUCCUUACCAGUGGUGCAGUAUUGACUCUCUUUCAAUUGGGGUUACAGAUUGGACCCCAACUCAGCUAUAAUGUGUUAUUUGGGGCAUUUCAGUUAUAUGACUACUUCCCACAGUUUUAGUUAUAGAAUCAGGACUGUCAGAUACAGUCAUUCAGUCUCAGUAAUAGAACUCAGAUAGUUCUACAGAAUUUAGGACUGUCAGAUACAGUCAACUCAGAACAGUAUGAAACUCAGCUAGUUCUAUCAAAACCUAAACUGUCAGAUACAGUCGCUCAGUAUCAGUUAUUUCAGUUACACAGUUAUCAGUAUCUCAUGUUAUCAGUACUCAAACUCAGUAAUCAUGUUAUCACGAACUCAGUUACAGUUCUUAUGUAUUCAUGCAUGUAUUCUCACGUUCAUGUUAUCCAGUCAGUGAGUGUAGUUCAUGCAUGUGAACCCUUUUGCAUUCAACCUGCCUCACAUGCAUACCAGUACAUUCAAACGUACUGACGCAUUUGCGCUAUGAUGUUUUAUACCAUAGGUUCAGAAGCACGAGAUCCAAAGCAUCAGUAGCAUUCCAGUACUCAGCAGUUAGAUUCAGCAGUGAGUCCUCAUCCUUCGAGGACACGAUCAUUACUUUAUUUCUCCAUUACUUAGUUUAUUUCAGUAGUUGAAGUUAGUUGGGGACAUGUCCCAUCAACUCCUUAUUCAGACAGUUAGAGGCUAUUCAGACUAUCAUGAUUAGACAGUUAUUUUAGUUGUUUUGGGUAUUGAUACCCCACUCAGAUGUUUAUCAGUUUUGAACCUUAUGGCAUGUUUCAGCCUACUAUUUUUCGUAUUUAUAUAGUAUAUUAUGCAGUGUUCAGG
rnacentral:lncRNA from 1 species